rnacentral:rRNA from 1 species
GUAGGUGGCAAGCGUUGUCCGGGAAUUAUUGGGGCGUAAAGCGCGCGCAGGCGGUUCUUUAAGUCUGAUGUGAAAGCCCACGGGCUCAACCGUGGAGGGUCAUUGGAAACUGGAGAACUUGAGUACAGAAGAGGAAAGCGGAAUUCCACGUGUAGCGGUGAAAUGCGUAGAGAUGUGGAGGAACACCAGUGGCGAAGGCGGCUUUCUGGUCUGUAACUGACGCUGAGGCGCGAAAGCGCGGGGAGCAAACAGGAUUAGAUACCCUGGUAGUCCACGCCGUAAACGAUGAGUGCUAAGUGUUAGGGGGUUUCCGCCCCUUAGUGCUGCAGCUAACGCAUUAAGCACUCCGCCUGGGGAGUACGGCCGCAAAGGCUG